rnacentral:rRNA from 1 species
UACGGAGGGUGCGAGCGUUAUCCGGAUUCACUGGGUUUAAAGGGUGCGUAGGCGGGAAUUUAAGUCAGUGGUGAAAUCUCCGUGCUUAACACGGAAACUGCCAUUGAUACUAUGUUUCUUGAAUUUUCUGGAGGUUAGCGGAAUAUGUCAUGUAGCGGUGAAAUGCUUAGAUAUGACAUAGAACACCGAUUGCGAAGGCAGCUAACUACAGGGAUAUUGACACUGAGGCACGAAAGCGUGGGGAUCAAACAGG